CCGUACUGUUUGUAAUGACGAUGGCACAUGGACAGCACUCCAGGAGGCUUGUACCAAAAAGGCAUGUCCACAUCCACCAGUGCCCAGUAAUGGGGAAAUAACCAACAUAAAAGGGGAUUUCCUGUUUGGCUCAGAGGCUCACUAUGCAUGCUUUGUCGGUUUCCACUUAAUUGGAUCAAAAGUUCUUUACUGUGAAUUAGUUGGCAACACUGUGGACUGGAGCAAUCAGCCUCCACUAUGUCAAAAGGUAUUGUGUAGACCACCUGAGAAAAUACCGAACGGGAAGUACUCCAACAGUCACAAGGAAGUUUUUGAAUAUGGUGAAGUUGUGACUUACACUUGCAACCCUUCAACCGGGCCAGAUGAAUACUCCCUUAUUGGGACGAAAAAGCGUGUUUGUUCUGCUGAUGGAGAUUGGA